CCCUCUGGUCAUCUUCCCAUAAUAUUUCUCCCUCUGGGAGUAUGAACCAAAAUUCUUUAUAUGGUAGCAGCUGGGAAGUGGAGCACCUGGCUAACUGCACAUUAUACUAUGCACAAAGAUCCAUCUCAUGUUCUUAGGUGAGAAAUCUCUGCCGGGGGAGGGAGUCUGAAAGAGAAAGCUCACGGUUGUCCAAUGUGAUGGAAAACAUUGAGAAGCUGAUGGUAUCAACCACAGCAAAACUCUCCAUCUCCACAGACUGCUUCCCAGUUAUGCUACAAAUGUGAUGGAUUUAUUUGCUCUCGCUCUGAUGCCAAAUCAAAGAGUCCACUAUAGCACAGAG